rnacentral:lncRNA from 1 species
CGGCGUUACAGCUCCAUGACUGCUCCUGCAGAGCAGGGUUACCCUCUUAGGCAGAGUGUCAGGGCAGUUUUGCUGUCAUAUUUAUACACACUUUUAAUUACAUGCAGAUUAAGGGGUGGUUUAUGCAGGCAUUUCUAGGGAAGGGGUAGUAACUUUUGGUUUAUGGUGCCACUGCCAUGGAAAGGGGCGGUAACUCACGAGUGUUGCCAUGGCAACGGUAAACUGACUUGGCUGGCUGGUGAGCGAGUCUUAGGGAAGACAGCUUCCGUCCAGGCCCUGUUUUAGCUAGUCCUCAAUUUGGUCAGGUAUCUCAGCCCCAUCUCUGAAUGGAGGCCUGCCUUCUACCUCACCUUUGUAGAAGUUUUUGUGAAUACAUGUCUUCAACCCUCUCGGGUGCGUAUCUAAGAGGAUAAUACUUUUUGGGGAACUGCCAAAUUGUUUUCCGGAGCAGCCGCACCGUUUUGCAUUCUCACCAGCCGUGUAUUCGGGUUCCAAUUUCUCCACACUCUCGCAACCCUUGCGCUUUUCUGUCUUUUUGUUUAUGGCCAUCCUAGCGGGUGCGAAGUGGGAUCUCACUGUGGUCGUGCUUUGCAUUCACCCUAUGACUAAUCAUGUUGAGCCUCUUUUCACAGACUUAAUGGCCAUUCUACAGCAGCCUUUUGAGCUAGGUUGUAAUCUCCAUCUGAUAGCGGAGGAAACAGAUUCAGAGAGUUGAAGAGACUUGCUUAACGCAAGGGGGUGGUGGGGCUGUGCCUGGGACUUGGGUCUGUCUGUCUCUGAAGCACCGCAGAACCAAAUUAACGGUAGAAACAAGUCCAGUCUGAGCGGCAGGAGACCUGGUCGCUGGUGCGUUCACCUUGGACAAGUCCUUUCCCGGUUCCGGGUGUCACUUUCUCCUCCGUGCCACUUGGGGCGAUAUACUUCAAACAUCUCUGGCCUCUCUAGGAACCAG